GUAGGUGAACCUGCGGAAGGAUCAUUAAAAAAGGGUCGCAAGACCCAUUUUAAAACCUAUCACCACCUCUCAUCGUCUAUAGACUUGUCUAUGGGGGUGAGAUGGAGGAGGUAGGACUUUUAAACCCAAUUUUUAUAAAAUAUAUAUAUCUCGUCUAAGGACGAAACAAAAAAAUGUAAAAACUUUCAACAAUGGAUCUCUUGGUUCUCGCAUCGAUGAAGAACGCAGCAUCUGACUGACUGGAAGCUUG
rnacentral:misc_RNA from 1 species